rnacentral:tRNA from 1 species
CAAAUUAUAGUUUAUUAAAACUUUUUAUUUACAUUAAAAGGAAAGUAGUUUAAUUCUAUUUGAUUUGA